rnacentral:rRNA from 1 species
AUGAACGCUGGCGGCGUGCCUAAUACAUGCCAGUCGCGCGAACAGACGAGGAGCUUGCUCCUCUGACGUUAGCGGCGGACGGGUGAGUAACACGUGGAUAACCUACCUAUAAGACUGGGAUAACUUCGGGAAACCGGAGCUAAUACCGGAUAAUAUAUUGAACCGCAUGGUUCAAUAGUGAAAGACGGUUUUGCUGUCACUUAUAGAUGGAUCCGCGCCGCAUUAGCUAGUUGGUAAGGUAACGGCUUACCAAGGCAACGAUGCGUAGCCGACCUGAGAGGGUGAUCGGCCACACUGGAACUGAGACACGGUCCAGACUCCUACGGGAGGCAGCAGUAGGGAAUCUUCCGCAAAGGGCGAAAGCUUGACGGAGCAACGCCGCGUGAGUGAUGAAGGUCUUCGGAUCGUAAAACUCUGUUAUUAGGGAAGAACAAAUGUGUAAGUAACUAUGCACGUCUUGACGGUACCUAAUCAGAAAGCCACGGCUAACUACGUG